GGCGAGGCAGAGGGAGGCCUAUAAGGUAUUGGGGAGAGGUGAUUAGGCGUGACAUGGCUAGAAUGCGGGUUUCCGAGAACAUGGCCCUUGAUAGGAAAGUCUGGAGGUCUAGUAUUAGGGUUAUAAGAUAGAGGCUCCUAAAGUUUUUCGUACUUCUCACCCGGGGUUAUGUGAGGCUUGCAGGCCUAUCCAUAGAUAAUUUGUGUAUUGGAUUGUGUCUCCAUUAUGGUAGUUAUUUAUGGUAGUUACUGUCUAUUAUUAUUGCAUGUUAUUUUAUUUAUGGUUCUUAUAUUUAGAUAAUUAUUUACGCUAUUUCUGCUGGAGUUACUAAUGCUCUUUUGUUUUUAUUUUUGUUUUUGUUUUUGUUUUUCAUUUCCUUCACUGAGCCGAGGACCGAUUGGAAACAGCCUCUCUGCCCUUCCGGGUAUGGGUAAGGCCCGUCUACAUAUUACCCUCCCCAGACCCCACUUUGUGGGACUAUACUGGGUAGUUGUUGUUGUUGCAGAUAUCAUACUAAUUAGUUGGCGCCACUGUCUCAUAGCUUUUACUUAUGCUUUUGCAGCUUGGAUAUACCAAGAAGCAAGAAGAGCGGCAUUUCCAUGGUGUAAUUACGUUGGAGGUACCAAACUGCCAAUUGGUGUUUUUGAGAUCUGAGUGCUUUUGAUACCUAACAUUCAAUUUUGGACAAGUAAUCUGCAUUUGUCUCUUUUAUAGCUUUAUUAUAAAGCCUUUAGUGAGUUCAUUUUGUUUAUUCAAAUUGUUUCUCUGUUAAGCUUUAUGGGUAGGCCUUGACUAUUAGGUGGUCUCCUUAAUUGGAGGUACUUAAAUACCGAAAGUGUUUUCCAGCUGUUUUGACACUUGUGCACUGCUUCUCGUUUUCAUUUGGUACAUAGAUAUGUUUUCUGGCUUCACUUUGUUUCAUCUAGAUUGUUUCUUUCCAUGUUAAAGUUUAUGUAACAAACUACAAACACCUAUUACACGGCUCUUGCUACUUGUUUCCAGAAAGGUUGUCUUUAGUUGUCAGAAGAAAAAAAAUUACUUUAUGAAAGUUUUUGUGCAUUACAUGUACAGUAGUGUUAGAUCUAGGUGCCACAGCAUGUGCAAAUCAAAUAUUGCUAGAGUCACCUGGCAUAUCAAAGUCCAGAAAAUGAGAUGAGCCCCCUCUAGAGGUAUAUGAGUAACAUUUAGGGUCUGCACCUGUUUAAGCAUCAAGUCUUAUGUGCACAUUGCUUCCUUGAAUAGUAGAUUGAGACACCCCUAUAGAAUUUCCAGAGCAGUAAUAAAAAUGCACAUUAACUUACAGCUGCAAAAAUGGGUUUGAUCAUAGAGUCCAGGUAUCUUCUUUGAAGUUCAGGUAUAAGAACAUUCAAGGGCCAAACAUUGAAGUUCACAACUCUCAAGCUUAUGAAUUAAAAUCGUAGGACCUAUUAGCCUAGUGUUGCUGCACUUGUCAUAACUUUAUAUACAUCUCUCUGCUUUUCUUUCUGGAAAUUGCAUCUAUUGUUUACUGUCAUCUACAUUUCAAGAUUGAAUAUUAUAGUUGUAUUUUUGUCUUUUUAAUCAUGUGCAAGAGCGUCCAGAAUUAUUGAUUUGAAACUCAUGUCUGCUGGGGUUAGAGCUAUCAAGUGAUCCUACUCAAAGGAAGAAUCUGAAGAGAAAAUAGAUCGGGGUUUCCUUUUCGUGUACAGAUUGCAGGGAAUGAGUUCAAAUUUUUUAUUGUUGACUUGGUUUGUCGUGGUCAUUCGCUUCCUGAUAUAUGGAUUAUUUACCUCAUCCUAUUAAUGACUUGGUGCUGUUUAUCCCUGGGUUUGGUAUGUACAAUAUUCCUUGGUUUGUAUGGAGUCUCAACUUAGUUAAUUUACUAUCAUCAAGACAAAAAUCUGUCAAUCUAGUAUGACCCAUCCGAAGUCCCAUAGGUGAUUUAAAUAUCUCGGCGCUCCAGGUAGAAUUAGCAAGUCUUUACGGAACUAUAGCUAAAAGUGUCCUUGAUUUGCUUUUCUUUUUUCCCUUAUAAUUUUGUUAGAGAGGUGGGUGGGUGGUAAAGGAAAAAAUAAUAAAAGGUCAAAUGCAAGAGCGUUAAUCAACUGUGUGGCCACCUAACAGCUUAAGUUGUUCGAGAAUGAACACUUUUAUAUACUACUUAUUUUUUAUACACGUCAUGCUCCUCACGUGGAGGGCUUGGUGCAAGCAUGUUAAGAUAUUUUGUUGACAGUGGGAUUUUUGAACCUAGGAUGCUAUUUUGGUACUGUUGUAAAAGUUUAAACUAUUAGCAAAGAAAUAAUUCUAUUUUGUUAUUUUAGAUCUUCAAUAAGGGCUAAAAGACAAUUCAUGUGCCAGUUUUAGCAGUCAAUAAGGUAGAUCCAUACAGGUCAUAUGGUCCUUAUUGACACGACAUGGGGGGGGGGGGUGUANNNNNNNNNNNNNNNNNNNNNNNNNNNNNNNNNNNNNNNNNNNNNNNNNNNNNNNNNNNNNNNNNNNNNNNNNNNNNNNNNNNNNNNNNNNNNNNNNNNNNNNNNNNNNNNNNNNNNNNNNNNNNNNNNNNNNNNNNNNNNNNNNNNNNNNNNNNNNNNNNNNNNNNNNNNNNNNNNNNNNNNNNNNNNNNNNNNNNNNNNNNNNNNNNNNNNNNNNNNNNNNNNNNNNNNNNNNNNNNNNNNNNNNNNNNNNNNNNNNNNNUGGGGGGGGGGGGUGUAAUAGUCAUUGUUGAUGCGGUGUGUUCUUUGAUGGGUCAUCUAUGAAUCUAUGAUCUCACUUGGCAAACGUAGUUUCAUGUACAUCUAUGUGGUUUAUGUUCUUUGAUUCCUAGGGUACCAGUAGUUGAAUGAGCUUUCUAUCUAAUUACCUGCCACAGUGUUGCAACAAUUUUCAAAACUGCUUUAAGCAUUGUUAAGGGAGAAAUGCCCAAUAAAUAUCUCAUUAUUAUUAUGAUUUUUCGAUUCCUUAGGAUAGUGGAAAUCUUGAAGCAAAAUUCAAUUCUGGUUGGGAAGGAUAUUUCACAGAAGUAAUUCUUGGUACAUAUUCACCGAGAAUUCUGAACAUGAUGCACUGGUCACCACUUUUCGUGACCUUUCACUUUGGGACAUGGGGAGCAGAGAAGAGACGAUUUAAUUGUGCAUGAAAAGGUUAAACUGAAAGACCAUUAAAUGACCCAAAUCAGUAUUUCUUCAUUCUAGAUAUUGCAUUCUAUCUAUUGUUAUUCCUUAAAAACUUACAGUGGAUGGCUGCAUUUUUACAUGGGUUUUGAGUCUAUUAGAGAAGCAGUCUAUUAGAGAAGCAAGCUAUACCUGUAUUUGGCUUCGGUUCUGAUUGUUGUUUUCAAAUUUCAUGAAGAAAUAUAAAUUGUUGUACCGAGUUUGCGGAGCUUAUCAAGUAACAUCAAUCAAUAACUUUACCUCAAUACAAAAUUAGUCUGGGAUGGUUAUAUGAAUCUUCUGUAUUCAUUUCGCUCUAUUUGACCUCAUUUUAUUCCAAAACCAAUUAACCUGUCUUUUAAGGAAAAUUAGAGGUUCUCUAAAGCUAGAAGUUUUCUAAAUCUCACACUUAUCCUCAUUAAUAACAAUUAAGCCUUCAUUCCAAGUAGAUAGUAUCACUUGCAUGAUCUUUUUGCUUCCAUUGUAUCUGUUCUUAGCUAAGACCAUUUUGAAAGAUGGCCGUCUGAAACAAUUUCCCCAUUCCCUUAGCGCCUUCAAUUAUCAUAAUGCUGCACCUACGUACCUACUCAUAUGGAGAUUUAUGUGGGACAUGUCCAAAAACUUCAUCUUAUGUGUGUGCUGUUUCCAUUCAGUUGAAUAUGAUAAUUUGUAAUCUUUUCCAAUCUUGUACGGGGGACUGGCUGCAUAUCCAUCUUAAUACUAACAUUUCUAUUACAUUCAUCUUGUGGGUAUGUUGUGCCUUUAGUUUAUAGUGUAACAUGCUAUCCAAAACUUUCAGGAAUGUAAUCUUGAAGAGGUUUCUGAAGAAGAUGAAGGAUCAUCGAAAAGUUUAAAGGACAAAAAGGCAAAUGGACCUGAUGGAGGAAAAGGACCUAGUCUCUUGUUCAAAUUAACAAGCAGGGUUCAAUAUAAGACUGUUCUUAAAGGUGGUGCAUUCCUACACUCUUUGUAAGGGGAUUAUAUGGUUUCUUCUUUCAUUUUUUUACAACUAAGUUAUGCUAUAUUGCAGCCCAAAGUGCUGUUAUUUUGAAGGCAGAAAGUUUGGCUGAGAAGAAUGAAUGGAUAAACAAAUUGAAAAAUGUCAUAAGUUCUAAAGGAGGUCAGGUUAUUGCUGAUUCUGGUCCACCUGUGAGGCAAAGUUUAUCUGAGGGGUCACUUGUAAGUAGCAAAAUACGGUUUUACUCGCACAAAUUCUUUUGCUAGUUCGGUCUAUAAUUGUUCCUUCAAUUUACUUCAGCAGAAAAAAACUUCUGCACUUCAUUACCACCAUUGUUUUCAAAUGUUUUUACUGCACAGCUGAUUUUUAGUGCCAGAAGUAUUCUUCUUGUUUUACCUAUAAGGAAUCUCUUCAAAUUUUGACUUCUUGAUUUGAGAUCAUUUAAUUUGUACGCCAGCAUUUUAUGGAAUAUUUCUCUUUCCACAAUCUCUGUUUUCAAAUAUGUUACAUUUCAAAUGCUUGGAUCAUUUUCUAUUUAGGACAAGAUGACUAGGAAACCUGCAGAUCCAGAAGAAGAACUCCGUUGGAUGGCUCAAGAAGUACGUGGUUAUGUUGAAGCUGUUCUCAACAGCCUUGCUGCUAAUGUACCGAAGGUCAGUUUAAGGUCAUUGUUAUGCCCUUCAUUUUUGUUCCCCAUACCCUGUUUAACUUUAAUUGGUUUUUCAGGCAGUUGUUCUUUGCCAAGUAGAAAACGCCAGAGAGGAUAUGCUUAAUAAGUUGUACAGUUCUGUCAGGUUAGCAGCAGCUGUAUUUGCUUUUCAGGAAUCAUGGAUAUUAGGAACUCUGAUUUUGACCAAAUAUAUACACUGAGGAUGUUUUAUAUAAGAAACCAAUCUCACAAAUUUUACUUCUACUUGAAACUAAUCAAUCCAGAAUAUCUCUGGCAUAUGAAAAGUGUCAUGCAUACAACCUUGUGGUCUUAACAAAAGUUUCUUUAUUGUUUAUCAUCUUUGCUUCUUUCUAAUUGUCUUCUGACUAUCAUCUACGUAUCAAAUUUUGACUGUAGUGCGCAAAGUAGAACAAGGAUCGAAGAGCUACUCCUCGAAGACCAGAAUGCGAAGCGUAGGAGGGAACACUAUCAGAAACAAUCCUCUCUUCUUGCUAUGGUCACUCAGCAGCUUAGUGUUCAUGAUAGUCGAGCAGCUGCUGUGUCUAGCUACUCAGAUAGUGAUGGAGCUGGUAUUUGGCAAAUCCUUUGAUAGCUUUUUAGUUGAAGCCUUAAUCUUCAAUUCUUUUACAGUUUUCCAUCAUUUUAAUGUUGCCAUCUUAAAGUAUCAAAACGAACUCCUGUAGUAAAAUAUAUGGCCUCCAUAAAAAUAAAAAUAAAAAUAAAAAUGGAUUCCUGACAGAGCACAUGUAUUCUCAUAUGAGUUGAAUGACUGCUCUCAAAUAGUAUUGCUGAUGCAAAAUAUAAAGGAACAUGAAAUUCCAAUGAUGUGUCAUCUGGUGAACUAUGUUGGAUAUCAAUGCCUGAAGUUAUACGGAAUUAAAGUGGUUGACACUUGCCCGGAGAAACUUAAGAAAGUAUAUUAUUGAGAAAUGCACUAGAAUACGGAUGAAAUUUAGUUUCACGGGACUGCAAUUCAAUAAAAGAUAGGUCUAGUGAACCUGGGACACAAACCGAGUCAAUACUGCAAGCUGAUGUAGCUGUCUUCUAAUUUUUCGGGCUUUUAAAUAACAAAGGCAGAAGAAAUGCAGUGCAGUGAAGUAUUUAGAUUUUAGACUUUUUACACUGUGAAAGUUAACAUGGUUGAAGCAUCAGUAAUUUGCAAACUUGUCAAUGAAUAAGCAGGCAUAAGAGAAGUAGCUGAAACUUAGAGAGCCUCGAACUUAUUGUUUAUGAUCCUUUUAUUAACAAUCAAUACACAUGAAGUGCUUUCUACAAACUUAGUCUAUCAUCAACAUUCUAUUAUAUUGACAUUUGCAGAAAGCACCCCAAGAUCUGGAGGACAGUCAUCAGGUGAUGAUUGGAGAUCCGCAUUUGAUGCUGUGAAUGGCGCCCAAAAUGGUGAUGCAGGGUCUAGAAAUCGACGAACACCUAGCCGGCUGCCACCUGCACCUCCUGGUUCUGGAUUUAGAUCCUAGGCAUUUGAUUCAAAUUCUUGGCAGCUGAGAAGGUUUUGGUUCCUGUUCUCUUCUUGGACUCUUGACGUGCUCGGAUUUUGUCACGAGAUCUUUGUAUAAAUAGCUUUUACAUUUUUAGGUAAAGUUUAGCGGUCUCCCUUCUCAACAAAGAAAAAGUUUUCCAGUUGCUGCUUGAUCCUAACUACCCAUAGCUUUCAAAUUUAGGAAUUUCAGGACAAUUUUCAUGUAUAAUUUUGUUGGGUGGGACAAGAGGGGUUGCUCUGAUGGUAAGCAACCCCCACUUCCAACCGAGAGGUUGUGAGUUCGAGUUUUCCCAAGAGCAAGGUGGUAAGUUCAUGGAGGGAAGGAUGCCGGGGGUCUAUUUGGAAACAGCCUCUCUACCCCAGGGUAGGGGUAAGGUCUGCGUACACACUACCCUCCCCGGAGCCCACUAAGUGGGAUUAUACUGGAUUGUUGUUGUUGUUGUUGUAAUCCUGUUGGGUGGGUGGGUAUUUACUGUUGGUUGAGCUUCAGCUAGGCUUAAGUUUUGACAAGGUUGCUUGGGAAAGUUGGUGAAACAACUCUGCCGUAGAUAAUACCUUGAUUUAUAACCUUAUUUGAUACUAUCAGAUUGCAGUUGCAUCCUUAGAAUUUGACCUUUAGCUUUAAACUUACCAUACCUUUCUCCAGCAUGGUUGAUCAAAUAUCAGGAUAUAAGUUUUGAAGUGAGAUUUUUUAUCACAGUUAUAAUUACAACAACAACCCAGUAUAAUCUCACUUAGUGGAGUCUGGGGAGGGUAGUGUGUACGCAGACCNNNNNNNNNNNNNNNNNNNNNNNNNNNNNNNNNNNNNNNNNNNNNNNNNNNNNNNNNNNNNNNNNNNNNNNNGAGAGGUUGUUUCCAAAAUAGACCCCCGGCAUCCUUCCCUCCAAGAACUUCUCACCUUGCUCUUGGGGAGACUCGAACUCACAACCUCUUGGGGAGACUCGAAAUCACAGUUAUAAUUAAAUCAUUAUAUUCUUCUCAUAUCAUAGCUUUUUAUGAUUUGCCCAAAUUUUGAGCGAUUGCAAUUUGCUACUGCUGUGCUGGAUCAUCUAGUCUCUUGCUCUCUUUUAUUUGAGGUGCAGACAAAGAUAUUCCCAGAAACUGUAAUUUAUAUACGGCUAACGAAAUUAUUUAAUGCAUGAAGACAUGGUCACUUUGUGGUGCUUUUAUAAUUGGUAGUUGUAUUUAAGCACGAGCAACCAGGAAAGAAAAACUCAAAAAUGUUAAAUACUUGGGCAAAUUAACCUCAAAAUGCAAUGUCGUCUCUCUAAUACUGAUCUUUUCAUAAAUGAAUACGGUAAUAAUUCAUCUGUUAAACUCCCAAACAAGAUAAAUAGUGUAAGUAGAACUUAUGGUGUAUGUGUAUGACUAAGGUUCUGAAGAACUAUUCUACAAAGGAUGAACAUUGAUCAUUUUUCUGUACAUGGCUAAGAUUCUUACAGCAUUCUGAUUGGAUAUUUACAGUUUCUCCAAAUUCGGUCAUUGAAUAUCGGUGAAUAUGCUGCAGAACAGCUUGAAUUGAUCUAUUCUGUCCCUGGAAGAUGAUUAUGCCACUCUGAUUGGUGAACUAUAAGUUUUGAGAACCUUUCAACAGGGAACAGCUGGCGACUUAUAAACGUUGAAUGUUAAACACGUAUCAACUCCAUACAUUCUUCUUGAAGGGACCAUCAUCCUGUAAUAAUUUCAUAACAAGUUUGACCUGUAGAAAAAUGCAAGCAGACAGAUUAGUUAAAACUCCCCAAAGUUGCAGUACCCAUAUUGAAGUGUUCCAUCUUCUAAAAUUUGGUAGCAACAUAACAUCUUUUAUUUCAUCAGCACAUAAAGAUAGUAUUUAACCGAUUAUAUAGAGAUUUUUGUAUAACAAUCCAAACUAGGCUACGGCUGGAGGAAUUUUGGAGGGGAAGAAAGACAACAAAACAAACUUCAGACUAAUGGGGAAUGUUGUUUGGACAAUUCGAAAAUGUCGCCGGGUACAUGUCAGAUCCUCCAAAAGUAGUGUAUUUUUGGAGGAUCCGAUGUGGGUGCAGCAACAUAUUGGAGAGUCCACGCAACAUAGCUAACGGAGAGAGUCCAUUAAAGAGUACCCACAUGGAUCUGUUGUCAGACUCUUUCAUCUGAUAUAUUCCCAGGAUUAUAUGACAAGGGAAGAGAAACUAAUUAUAGGAGUUCCCCAGAGAAAAGCAUAUUGACCACUAAAUUUUUACCCGUCAACCACGAUAAGUAGUGUUUCGUAAUUGAUUUACAGACUCAUAUCUUGAUGAAGAGCUUCACAGCCUUGGGACUGCAGCAGAGCUCUUUAUGUAGUCCUUCAAAUCCAACCUUGGCAGAUUUAUCUGGACGAUACCUUCUCUGUGAAAGAUGACCCAAGAUGGUCAGUUCACAUAAUAUGAGGCUACAAGCUGGUCGGAAUUAUAUAGCACCUAUUGGCUUAAAAGGACAGGAAAUUAUAUUGACACUAAGAAUGUGCCUUCCAGGCUUCCUGGAUCUUCGGUUGGGGAAAGAAGUCUUAUACAGCUAUGCAAUUCUAUUUUUCUAUGUUCAAGACAACCUUAUGACCUUGUCAUUUAGGUGCUUCUGCUCAUAAAAUAUGUCCUCAUCUAUUUAUGUGAAGAUACGUUUUUAUUUUCUAAGUUUCCUUUGAGAAGAAAAAUUCUCUCUACAAAAAGGUAACUAUCACCUGAGCAGAUUCUCGUACCAAGAAAUCAUCAAAGACUCGCCUAAAAUCCUCAUCUAGAACAUAGUGACAGCUGUAAGUAGUCACUGAGCAUAUAUCCCCUCUGAAUUUUGUGUUCACCCUGAGCACCAGCCUCUACUGUGCCAAGAUUAAGUUCAAUUGCCGCUUCUAUGGCCUGAGAAGUAGAUCAAGAGAAAUUAGAUUCAAUUUUCAAGAAACAUUUAAGACUUAGGGUGUGUUUGGUAUAAAGGAAAAUGUUUUUCAAGAAAAUAUUUUCUUCAUUUUUCGGUGUUUGGUAUGCAAAUUAAGGAAAAUGACUUUUCAAAAGUAUUUAUAAAUAAUUUAGAUAUAAUAAAUAUGUAGCCAUAAACUUUCAAACCGACAACCUUCCGGACCCACAAAUUUUAUAAACUUUCGAAUCGCUAAAGUUUCAAAACCGCCGAAUUUCGAACCCAUAAACUUUAUAAUUUCUAAACCCAUAAACUUCCAAAUACAUAAACCUUCGAACUUAUAAUUUUGGUACUUGUAAAAUUUUGAGCUUUUAAACUGAUAAAUAAUAAAUUAAAAUUGAAAAAUAUAUUUAAAUUUUUUUUUUCCGGAGGGGUUGGGGUGGGUGGUGCAGAAAAAUGAAGAAUGGGUGGAGGGGGUAGUAGGGUGAGUGUUAAUGGAAUAACUGGAAUUAAAAAAAAAAAAUUGGAGAGGGGGUAGGGUUGGGGAAGGUUGAUAACAAACUUUGGAAAAUAUUUUCCCUCUCUUGAUAAGGAAAACAUUUUCCUCCAAUUGAAGGAAAAUGAAUUGAUAAUGAAAAUGUUUUCCAAAACAUUUAAGCCAACCAAACAUGAGAAAAUUGAAAAACAUUUUCCGAAAAAUAUUUUCUUUCAUACCAAACAAGCCCUUAGAGGAGCCUGAUUUACUUCUGAACCACUACAAGCUAAUUCUUGAAACAUACGAGUUUCUGCAAUCAAUACUGCAAUCAAACUGAAAUUCUACACUAUGAAAAACACAACUAGCUAUCUCUGUGGAUACUGUUGUCAUAAGUUAAGAAAACCUGCAUGCAGCAAGACACAUUCUUUUCUUUCUUCUAAUUGAUGGUUCAAAAUACCUGGUAGUAACAUGCUUCAAAAUGCAAAUUCGCAUAGUAGGCUCCUGGAAGACAUCCCCAUAGUCGUCCAUACAAGGUAUCUCCUCCAAUAAGAUUAAGGGCUGCAGCUACAAGCUCAUCACCUUCUUCAGCAACAACAAGCAGUACAUUGUCACCCAUCCUUGCACCCAUUUGAUGGAAAAAAUCUCUCGUUAAAUAAGCAGUACCCCACCUAAAGAGACAGCGAAUGCAGAUUAGAUAAUGCACGCACUAAAAUACAGCUGUAAAGUACACGAAGUAGAAUAAUUUAGCUGACUAAAGUUUAGUUAAGAUAGUACUUAUGGUCCAAAGAAAGAACUCCUACUUGUUGUCGGUUGUGUUUCUGUAGAACUUAUAAAACGUGUCUCAAUGGCUAGCCUGUCCGUACAAUAGACAAACAUGAAAUGAGAAUUUCAAUCUUAUUCACAGACAUAAUUGUAGCUGCACGUGACAGGGGGUUCAUGUGCCUUAAAACAAGAAAUCAGCCGUUCACAUAAAAAACAUAAUUAGUUUGAUGGGGAAGUUGGGUGGAGGGGAGUCCAGCUGUAAAGGGCCUCAGUGUUCACAAUGUGAUUUAAAAGUGCCGAGCAGAUUACACCAGGCCAUCACAGAAAGAUAGAGAUAAAUGAUAUGCACACUAUAUUUAAUCCUUUAGGCAAAGGACAAUAGUAGACAUGAUCACAAUCAGGUAAUUUAUCCCAACGAAAAGAAUAAGUAAAAACAUUAACAUAUGAACAGAUCAGGUUAGUAAAGGUACUGAUCCUUAUUUUUAUUUUGAGUAUUUGCACAACUAGUCUAUUUAUGUUUAGAAAAUAAAAUUUAAACACCACAUACUGAAAAGAGAAGCUACAAAACACAAAUAGCAGUUCCAAAAAAGUCACCUAAGCUCAAAUAACUAAUAAAAUGGGAAGUCAAAAGCUUCAAAAACACACCUUGAUUUCAUAUCCUCUUAAGCGUUUCAUGGUCACGUUUUGAGCUGAUAUCUGAAAUAAGAAAAGAUCUUAUCAGUAUUUUGCAAAUUUGAAGACAUUGAGAAGCGAGAGGAGGUAGAAGCGCUAUUUAGCUAAUUAUGAAACUAAAAGGAAAUAUUAUACUCCUCUAAGAAAAAUCUUGAUGUAAUAGUAGAAAUAAGCAAGAACACAGGAUGAAGAAAAGAUAGCACUGCAGCAAUAUGCAACAUGCCAAUAGCCAUACAGCCAUGGCAAUAAAGCGACGGUGCAGAUGCCGCACAACUAAAUAAACAAUAGCAAAACCUUGUUUAUACAACAGUAAUAGAUUUGUUCUUGAUUUUAAGUGAGUCAAUAUGAACAUGCUCCUAGUAGGAUUGAAUUAAUUUAGAUUUAAGACCAAAGUGCUCCAGUCAUUUAUUUUUCUGAAGCAGGGAACUUUAUACGUUCGUGUACCGCAGACGGGUUCUCUGCAAUAUAUUCUAACGAACUGCUUUAUGAUACGAGUUUCAGCAUGGGCAUGUGUGACUAAGGCAUGUCUAAUUGUUAUUAUACACCACGUUCACUUUUAAAUUAGAUCUUUUAGAUUCAAAUUCUAUUCUUUUUACAGCCUCUUUUAGAGAAUCUUCUACAGCUAUUGACUGGCCAAGCAAUUUUCAAGGAAAAGGAACAACUAAUUCUACAAACCUUCUUGCGUUCUUGACGAAUGUUCUUCCUCUUACUCUGCUUCAUGUCCAUCAAAAACUCAUCAAAGCUGAACAUUGCAAAAACAAACUUAUAACAAUCAAGAAGAAAAAAAAUUCAUUAACAUGAUGUAGUGGUGCCCUUGUACAAGAACAAAGGGGACAUUCAGUGCUGCAACAACUAUAGGGGUAUCANNNNNNNNNNNNNNNNNNNNNNNNNNNNNNNNNNNNNNNNNNNNNNNNNNNNNNNNNNNNNNNNNNNNNNNNNNNNNNNNNNNNNNNNNNNNNNNNNNNNGUGCUGCAACAACUAUAGGGGUAUCAAAUUAAUAAGUCACACCAUGAAGAUAUAGGAGUGGGUGAUCGAGGUGAGUGUGAGAGAGAUGACUUCUAUAUCUGUGAACCAGUUCGGUUUCAUGUCGGGUCGCUCCACUACAGAAGCUAUUCACCUUGUCAGGAGGCUGGUGGAGCAGUUCCGGGAUAAGAAGAAGGACAUGCACAUGGUGCUUAUCGACUUGGAGAAAACGUAUGACAAGGUCCCAAGGGAGGUGCUGUGGAGGUUCUUGGAGUGGAAGAGCGUGCCGGAAGCCUACAUCAGAGUAAUCAAGGACAUGUACGACGGAGCUAAGACUAGNNNNNNNNNNNNNNNNNNNNNNNNNNNNNNNNNNNNNNNNNNNNNNNNNNNNNNNNNNNNNNNNNNNNNNNNNNNNNNNNNNNNNNNNNNNNNNNNNNNNNNNNNNNNNNNNNNNNNNNNNNNNNNNNNNNNNNNNNNNNNNNNNNNNNNNNNNNNNNNNNNNNNNNNNNNNNNNNNNNNNNNNNNNNNNNNNNNNNNNNNNNNUUGGAUGCUCUAACCCGUCAUAUUCAAGGAGAUAUGCCUUGGUGUAUGCUAUUUGAUGACAUAGUCUUGAUAGACGAGACGAGGGUCGGUGUAAUUGAGAGGUUAGAGGUAUGGAGACAGACUCUCGAGUCCAAGGGUUUCAAAAUAUGCAGAUCUAAGAAAGAAUACAUGGAGUGUAAGUUUAGCGCCGGGCCGAGCGAAGUAGGCAUGGACGUGAUGAUUGGAGCUCAGGUCAUCGCCAAGAGGGACAAUGUCAGAUAUCUUGGGUCGGUGAUUCAGGGGGACGGAGAGAUUGACGGGGACGUCACUCAUCGUAUAUGAACGGGGUGGUCGAAGUGGAGGCUUGCAUCGGGAGUCCUGUGUGACAAGAAAGUUUCACAGAAACUCAAGGGGAAAUUUUAUAGAGUUAUGGUCAGACCUGCCAUGUUGUAUGGGCGUUGGCCAGUGAAAAACUCUCAUGUUCAGAGAAUGAAGGUUGCGGAGAUGAAUAUGCUCAGGUGGAUGUGCGGGCUCACCAGGUUAUAUAAGAUUAAGAAUGAAGUUAUUCGAGAAAAGGUGGGGGUGACCCCGGUGGACGAGAAGAUGCGAGAAGCGAGGCUGAGGUGGUUCCGCCAUGUGCGGAGGAGAAGUCCUGAUGCCCCGGUGAGGAGUUGUGAGAGGCUUGCGAUGGUCGGCGUACGGCGAGGCAGAGGGAGGCCUAAGAGGUACUGGGGAGAGGUGAUUAGGCAUAACAUGGCUAGAAUGCAGGUUUCCGAGGACAUGGCCCUUGAUAGGAAAGUCUGGAGGUCUAGUAUCAGGGUCGUUGGAUAGGGGCUCCUAGAGUUUUUCGUACUCCUCACCCGGGGUUGGGUGAGGCUUGGCAGGGCUAUCCAUAGAUGAUUUUUUUUUUAGUUUUUCGUACUCCUCACUGAGGGUUGGGUGAGGCUUGGCAGAGCUAUCCAUAGAUGAUUUGUGUCUUGGACUGUGUCUCUCUUAUGGUAGUUAUUUAUGGUAGUUACGGUCGGAU
rnacentral:lncRNA from 1 species